rnacentral:rRNA from 1 species
UUUACCUACGGGAGGCAGCAGUAGGGAAUUUUCGGCAAUGGGGGAAACCCUGACCGAGCAACGCCGCGUGAAGGAAGAAGGUUUUCGGAUUGUAAACUUCUGUUAUAAAGGAAGAACGGCGGCUACAGGAAAUGGUAGCCGAGUGACGGUACUUUAUUAGAAAGCCACGGCUAACUACGUGCCAGCAGCCGCGGUAAUACGUAGGUGGCAAGCGUUAUCCGGAAUUAUUGGGCGUAAAGAGGGAGCAGGCGGCAGCAAGGGUCUGUGGUGAAAGCCUGAAGCUUAACUUCAGUAAGCCAUAGAAA